rnacentral:RNase_P_RNA from 1 species
UCAGUCGGCUGGAUGGCCGCCUGCGGAUGCGCCAAAAGCCUCCGCGGGAGGAAAGUCCGGGCUCCAUGGAAAUACGGUGCCGGUUAAUGGCCGGCGGGGGCGACCCCAGGGAAAGUGCCACAGAAAAUAAACCGCCCCGGCAUGUCCGGGGUAAGGGUGAAACGGUGCGGUAAAAGCGCACCGCGCUUGUUGGUAACAACAGCGGCACGGCAAACCCCACCGGGAGCAAGAUCGAAUAGGGGUGACAGGGGCGAAAGCCCCAGCCUGUUUCCAGGCCGUCACCCGGGUUGGUCGCGAGAGGUGCCCGGCAACGGGCAUCCCAGAUGAAUGGUCAUCCACGG